AGAGUUUGAUCAUGGCUCAGAAUGAACGCUAGCGGCAGGCCUAAUACAUGCAAGUCGAACGCCCUGGGUUCGCUCAGGGAGUGGCAGACGGGUGAGUAACACGUAUGUAACUUUCCUCAAUCUUAGGUAUACCUCUCAGAAAUGAGAGUUAAUCCCUCAUGUUACCGUUAAAGCACAUGCUCUUUCGGUGAAAGCUCCGGCGGAUUGAGAUAGGCAUGCGCCCUAUUAGCUUGUUGGUGAGGUAAUGGCUCACCAAGGCAUAUGGGUAGGGGUUUUGAGAGGAAGAUCCCCCACACUGACACUGAGAUACGGGUCAGACUCCUACGGGAGGCAGCAGUAAGGAAUAUUGGUCAAUGGGCGCAAGCCUGAACCAGCCAUGUCGCGUGCAGGAAGAAGCCUCUAGAGGUGUAAACUGCUUUUUUAUGGGAGCAAAGAGCCCUCGCGGGGGAAGAUGAGAGUACCAUAAGAAUAAGUACCGGCUAACUACGUGCCAGCAGCCGCGGUAAG
rnacentral:rRNA from 1 species